rnacentral:misc_RNA from 1 species
UUCCUCCAGCAGAUUCGUCUUAUCCUCCUGCUAGAGCCACUUUGCAGCCACCUUUACCUGGAUACAUAAAGCAGUCGACUGCAGUUUCACAAGCCCCUCCUAUACAGUCCCCUUUUGAAGCUCAACAAGGAAGUUACAUACCUCCUGCACCAACACCAUCUCCCCCUUUUCCUUCUCACCGAGGAGGUUUUGGUCAACCUCCAUCAGUUGCUGCCCCUUAUGGCUUGCAUUCAAAGGACCAAUUCCAACAGCCAGGCUCCAUACCUCCCAUAGGUGGCAUCCAAGGUUUGUUGGAAGAUUUCAGUUCACUGUCAGUUGGAUCUAUGCCAGGAUCAAUAGAGCCUGGACUUGAUCCAAAAGCUUUGCCAAGGCCUUUGGAUGGUGAUGUGGAGCCAACUCCAUU